GACGAACGCUGGCGGCGUGCUUAACACAUGCAAGUCGAACGGGCCCGCUCUCUUUUUUGGGGGUGGGUUGAGUGGCGAACGGGUGAGUAUCACGUGAGUAACCUGCCCCCUGCUCCUGGAUAACUGCUUGAAAGGGCGGCUAAUACGGGGUGUGCCGGCUGGUCCGCAUGGGCCUGGUCGGGAUAGUUUCAUCUUCGGGUGUUUCGGUGGGGGAUGGGCUCGCGGCCUAUCAGCUUGUUGGUGGGGUGAUGGCCCACCAAGGCGGUGACGGGUAGCCGGCCUGGGAGGGUGGGCGGCCACACUGGGACUGAGACACGGCCCAGACUCCUGCGGGAGGCAGCAGUGGGGGGUAUUGCACAAUGGGCGGAAGCCUGAUGCAGCGACGUCGCGUGAGGGAUGGAGGCCUUCGGGUGGUGAACCUCUUUCUCCGGUGGUGAAGGCCCUGUCCGUUGCGGCGGGGUUGACGGUAGCCGGGUAUGAAGCGCCGGCUAACUACGUG
rnacentral:rRNA from 1 species